GCCCCUAUAGCUCAGUUGGUAGAGCAAUUGAUUUGUAAUCAAUAGGUCCGCGGUUCGAGUCCGUGUGGGGGCACCA
rnacentral:tRNA from 1 species